ACAAGGGCGUACGGUGGAUGCCUUGGCUUGAAAGAGCGAUGAAGGACGCUGCGUAGCGGCGAUACGCUUCGGGGAGGUGCCGAGCAACCUUUGAUCCGAAGAUGUCCGAAUGGGGAAACCCGUCUCGAUGAAUGAUCGAGACACUCCGACGCAAGUCGGAGAGCGCACCCGGGGAAGUAAAACAUUUCAGUACCCGGAGGAAAAGAAACCAAUUGGUAUUUCCUUAGUAGCGGCGAGCGAAAAGGAAUCAGCCUAGAUUGAACGGUUCGCAAGAACUGUUUGAAGUUGUAAGGCAAGAAUUUCGUAUUUAUACGAGGAAAGUUAUUAAAUUGUUCGUUAGUGGAAGCUUCUGGAAAGAAGCGCCCCAGAGGGUGAUAGUCCCGUACACGAAAACGAACGAUCUUUCUUGUUUUUGUCCUUAAGUACCUCAAGACACGAAUACCUUGGGGGAAUCCGCCGGAACUAACCGGCAAGGCUAAAUAUCUUUCAAGACCGAUAGUGAACAAGUACCGUGAGGGAAAGGUGAAAAGCAGCCCGAUGAGGGCGGUGAAAUAGACCUGAAACCGUAUGCUUACAAAGAGUUACGGCCCCAUGCGCAAGCAUCGUGGGUUGUAGCGUGCCUAUUGAAGAAUGAGCCAACGAGUCCAGGGAGAGAGCGUGUCUAAGCCCCUUAAACAAGGGCGGAGGCAUAGCGAAAGCGAGUGUUAAUAGCGCGUAGUCCGCCGCAAGGCGGACGCGCUCUCUCUUUGGGACCCGAAGCCAGAUGAGCUUGCCAUGAGCAGGGUGAACCUUCGCGAAAGCGAAGGGGAGGCCCGAACGCUAGAGCUGUGCAAUACUCUGCGAUGACUUGUGGCAAGGAGUGAAAAGCUAAUCGAAUUUGGUAAUAGCUGGUUCUCUCCGAAAUAGCUUUAGGGUUAGCGUUGUGUGUUCCUUUUGGGGGUAGAGCACUGGAAGGUCCGGACAGGUCGAAAGACCGCUGGACCUAUCAAACUCCGAAUACCAAAAGUUAAAACAUAGCAGUUAGACCGUGGGGGCUAAGCUCCACCGGUCAAAAGGGGAAGAGCCCGGAUCUCCAGUUAAGGUCCCUAAAUCCAUGCUCAGUGCAUCGUAAGGAAGUGGUAUUUCUCAAACAGUGAGGAUGUAGGCUUAGAAGCAGCCAUCAUUUAAAGAAAGCGUAACAGCUCGCUCAUCGAGAGACGCCGCACCGAAGAUGAUCGGGGCUAAAGCAUGGUACCGAAACUGAGGGUGCUCCAAUUUUCGUAAGAAAGUCGGGGCGCGGUAGGAGAGUAUUCGCAUCUGCAGUGAAGCCGAAGGCGUGAGCCACGGUGGAGCGUUGCGAAGUAAGAAUGUUGGCACAAGUAACCACAAUGCAGGCGAGAAACCUGCACGCCGAAAGACCAAGGUUUCCUCCUCAAUGAUUGUCAGAGGAGGGUUAGUCGGGCCUUAGCCGAUGGCGAACGCCGGAGGCGAUGGACACACGGUUAAUAUUCCGUGACCGCGGCGCGUUUUGACGAAGUGACGAAGAUGAGUACUUCAGGCGCAUUAUUGGAUUUGUCGUUUGCAACAUAAGGAAGGAUUCCAGGAAAAUCCGGAGUCCUCGCUUUAAUGCGAUUUCCAAGCGUUGUGAAAAUGUGUUGACUUCGGUCAACGCAAAUCUGAAGGAGCCGUCUUUCAAGAAAAACUUCUAAAAUUAAACGCGACGCGACCGUACCGCAAACCGACACAGGUGGUCAGCUCGAGUAGAGUAAGGCGAACGAGUGAGAGGUCUCCAAGGAACUCGGCAAAAAAGCAGCAGUAACUUAGGGAUAUUGCUUGCCUCCCUACGGGAGGCUGCAACUAAAGUCUGCCUGGCGACUGUUUAACAAAAACACAGCUCCCUGCGAACUCGUAAGAGGAUGUAUAGGGGGUGACACUUGACCAAUGCCAGAAGGUCAAAUAUCGGCGUUGCUUUGUCGCAAGAUGGAGUGGUGACUGAUAUAAGCCCUGGUGAAUGUCGGCGAUAACUAUAAUCGUCCUAAGGUUGACCAUACUUUUCUUUAUAUGUCAAGCGUGGUCAAGGAUUGGGACGAUUACGGGUCGGCAUUUAAGUAGCGCUGCCCAUCCGCACAUGGCGGGUGUCCUAGAAUAUCUAGCUAUAUGCUGGAAAAUCUGUGGAUAAACUCCUUUAGUAUCCAACGAUACUAUGGUAAGAUUGUUCCAUAGUGAAUAAUCUACUUAGUAAAAAAUUAGUUGGUGCAGAUAACCAGCAGGAAAGAUUAGAAAUAGAAUCGUGGAUCGUGGGAUUUACAGACGGAGAGGGUUGUUUUUCGGCAAGUUUUAUUAAAAAUAAAACUACAAAAUCCGGAUGGCAAUUGUUUCCUGAAUUUGUAAUUACCCAAGGCGCAAAAAGUAUCUCUGCUUUGGAAGCGGUACAAAACUACUUCCAAUGCGGAAAGAUAUUUGUGAAUAAACGAUAUGAUAAUCACAAUGAAUAUCUGUAUCGCUACUGCGUACGAUCUAUAAAAGAUUUACGAGACAAAAUAAUUCCUUUUUUUGAGAAAAGAAAAUUAAAGACAUAUAAAGCAAGAGAUUUUAGAAUCUUUGCGCGUAUUGUGAAAUGUAUGUCUCGAAUGAUUCACCUUAAACCGAAAGGAAUGAAAAGAAUUGCUGAAAUGAUUGAGCAUAUGAAUAGAAAGAAAAAAUCUCGUUUUCUAAAAUCCUCAGAAACCAAACGCUAGAAUCCGAUUUUGGUCGGAUAAGAUAGAGUUCGUCCUGCAUGGCGACAUGCAGAUUAACAAAAGAUAGCGCAAUUCCUUGCGGGGUAAGUUCCCGCGCGUUGAAUAGUGUCACGUCUGGGCAACUGUCUCGGAGACUCGCUCGGUGAAAAUACAAUACCGGUGAAGAUGCCGGUUACCUGCAGUUAGACGAAAAGACCCCGGAAGCUUUACUGUAUCUUGGUAUUGCCUGCAUUUUUUUGAUGCGUAGCGUAGGCGGU
rnacentral:rRNA from 1 species